UAGCAUAACAGUAAAUUAAAUCAGGUAAAAAUGCCUUUUGUGUCAUUCCAAAAAUGGGUGAUACCAUGUUGUAAUUUGAACAUACAAGGUGAAGUGAAUAGCCAGUCCUGAAUCAGGACAGGAUAAAAUUUGAAGAAAGACUGAAACAAAGACAAGUUACCAUGAUGAAAAAGAAGAGGGUUUACAUCAGACAACACACAGAAGUACAAAAUAUUCCCUUCGAUUUAUGAGUAUACAAGCAAUUAUAACGCAUAAUGAUCAAGGUAACAACCGUG
rnacentral:misc_RNA from 1 species